rnacentral:rRNA from 1 species
GUAUGGUGCAAGCGUUAUCCGGAUUUACUGGGUGUAAAGGGAGCGCAGGCGGAAGGCUAAGUCUGAUGUGAAAGCCCGGGGCUCAACCCCGGUACUGCAUUGGAAACUGGUCAUCUAGAGUGUCGGAGGGGUAAGUGGAAUUCCUAGUGUAGCGGUGAAAUGCGUAGAUAUUAGGAGGAACAUCAGUGGCGAAGGCGGCUUACUGGACUGAAACUGACACUGAGGCACGAAAGCGUGGGGAGCAAACAGGAUUAGAUACCCUGGUAGUCCACACAGUAAACGAUGAAUACUCGCUGUUGGCGAUACACAGUCAGCGGCCAAGCGAAAGCAUUAAGUAUUCCACCUGGGGAGU